rnacentral:rRNA from 1 species
CCUACGGGAGGCAGCAGUAGGGAAUAUUGCACAAUGGGGGAAACCCUGAAGCAGCAACGCCGCGUGGAGGAUGAAGGUUUUCGGAUUGUAAACUCCUUUUGGUAGAGAAGAUAAUGACGGUAUCUAAAGAAUAAGCACCGGCUAACUCCGUGCCAGCAGCCGCGGUAAUACGUAGGGUGCAAGCGUUAUCCGGAAUCACUGGGCGUAAAGAGCGCGCAGGCGGGAUAGCAAGUCAGAUGUGAAAUCCUAUGGCUUAACCAUAGGACUGCAUUUGGAACUGUUAUGCUGGAGUAUGGGAGAGGUAGGUGGAAUUCUUGGUGUAGCGGUGAAAUCCGUAGAGAUCAAGAGGAAUACUGAUGGCGAAGGCGACCUGCUGGACCGUAACUGACGCUGAUGCGCGAAAGCGUGGGGAGCAAACAGGAUUAGAUACCCCUGUAGUC